ensembl:lncRNA
AGCGGCCGCAGGCGUGGGGCGCUGCCGGUGCGCCCGCACGGGCCCUGUGCCACCGCCGGCAUGGAUGGACCGGCCGCGCUUCCCCUCCUGUGCCCCCACGUCGGCUCCGCGGGCAGCGCCGAGCAGCACGGCGGGGAGGCGUGGCUGGGCGGCCCUGCUGUGCUCAGCCUCUCCCGUGCUCAGCCUGUCCCUUCGGGCAUGGGGGGCCCUCGAAGACCCCGGGCCGUGCCGGCGCCGCCGGCCCUCGGGCGGGUCUAGGUUUUAUCCCGCCGGCCCUUUGGUGGUGCAGGCGGUGGUGGAGCUCUCUCGGGCUGGGGCUGGCUAAGGGUCAGGGCAGAUCCCGGAAUAGGGGCUGAUGGGGCGGGUGCGCGGGGUGAAGCCGCGGUGCUGAGGCGUGCUCAGGUGUGCAAUGGCAGCGGGGCGGCCGCGCACGGACGGGCAGCGCCGCUCGGUCCGCACCUUCUGCCCUCGCAGGCGGCGGAGGCUGUAUGUGGGCAGCUGGCAAACUGCUGCGUGGGUCUGUCUCAUUCCUGGCUUUGGCUGUGUCCGGGGAGCGAUUUGACUGCGUUCGGUUUCCCGGGUUUGGUUGAUUUUUGGUGGGCUAAAGCAGGCGGUUUGUCCCUGAGAAAGUAGCGGCGCUUUGCGUGCUCGGAUUUGGUGCUGAGAGGGGAGACCCGAGUAGUUUUGCACAGCUUGACUUGUCACCCGAGCAGUUGGCAGGGGUGGCAGCGGGAUGGAAAACUGGGAGCACGAUUGGGCUGGCUGCCUGUGCAAAAGGAUGGUUCCGUCGGUGCUGGAGCAAGGGCAGAACUGCCGCAUGUCAGCCAGAGAAGUGCUGGGCUUGGAACGUGUCCUGCAGACGGCCGCCUGUACAGCCAGCUUUGCUCGCUCUCCUGGGCAGAUGCCGAAUUCUUUCCAAGAACUUGGCGUGGCAGUCCUAAAGCAGCAGGGUCUAUCCUAUAAUGAUUUAAAUCAUCUGUUCAGAAGAAGCAUUAAUGGGAUUUGCAUGACUCCUGACAUUUUGCUGACGUUCCUGUUAGAAGACCUAUCACCUCAUUUUGAAAACACUAAUAAAAGCACCAGUAUUCAAAUUGCAGGGUUUAAAUGAUCACAGAGGGUUAACAUCAGGCAUUCUGCUGCAGAACAGAAUUGUGAUUUAUAAGUUUGUGGUUUGUUCUCACAUGGUAUACAAGGAGAUGGUUGUACAAGAAUGAUACUGUCAGCAAAAAGGUUUUUAUUUCUUUUUAAAAAGGGGAGGGCUAAGUUAGCUAGUGAGAAAGAAAAGUCUCAUUUCAGCUUAUCAGAACAGGACAUGUCUUCAUGUUCAAGUCCGAUAUCUCUGUGUCAUUCCGAGUUGUGAUAGUGACUGAAAAUGAAGUUCCUUGUUGUGCCCUAACAAUUGAGCUCUAUUUAGGUGGGGGUUUAUUGUUCAUUGAAGUUUUUAAGUGGGAUAGCUUGAGCUCCAGCUGUUUUGCAUGCCAGGUAAAUAAUCUCAGUGUACCAUCACAGUAACGGCAGCACCAACACAUCCUCAGUUUUGAGAGCAUUAUACAUGUUUAAAUGUGCUUGCAAUUCUGGGUUGCUUAAAUUGUGAACACUGAAAACACAUCUGUGACAUGUUCCUGGUUAUUUUGGAAUUCUGCUAGUUUUAAAAAGUUAUGCAACAAACAGCAGAAACAUAGAAAUGCUGUGGAGGUUUUACACGGAAAGUGACAUUUUGAAAUCAGAACUGUACCUAGCUUCCUGUUUUGGGUCUAACCUGGAGAUCUAUAAGCAAGUUAGUUUCUGAACUGGAUAGGUAAUUAAAUAAUAUCCAUGGAUUGAUGGCAUAUUCCUUAGAGUGUUUGUGUUAGCCUUAAAAUACAAUAUUCCAUUUAAUAAAUGAGGUAAAGAAUAUUUACAAAGUGACUGGUAUCCAUUUAACUGAUGGGAAUAAACAUGACCUAAGGCAGUUUUUUGAUUUAAACCAUGUAAAGGUACUUUUGGCAGAGAGGGGUCAUGGUAAUGAUCCAAGGAGAAAUGUCUGAGCCCCGCAUUUAACAAAUAGAAUGGGAGGUCAUGUUCAGGCUUGAAUGUGGACCUUUAAAUGAGGCACUUUUUAGACUUCAUUUACUUCUUAAUGACACUGAUAGCACUGUGUGCCUCUUUGCACUGAGCUUUGUGCAUUGUGACACUACCUUGAAGCAAGGACAAGUAGUAUGGUCUCUGUAUUAGAGGAGCAGAUUUAUUCUUUGGGGUAAGCAAGCUGCUUGCAACUGUUCUGGCACAUGAAAAUCUGUUAGGUCUUUCAGGUUUGCAGAUGGUAGUGGUUCUUGAGUCUUUCAGUAUUACAAAGAAAGCAUAAUUUUAUAUGUAUCUCUUUCCAUGCAGAACUAAGAAAUACUGCCUCUAAUGACAACACCUCUGGCCUCUUUUCAUCCAGCAGUUAGGAGUGCUAAAAUCUUCAAUGGGCCUUAGAAAAAGAUUGGGCAAGCUCAAGAAAAAAUUUAUCUGCCAAAAAUAAAGACACCAUUAUGGUAUCGAGUCCUGGGCCAUAGAAGGCUGGGUGUCGCAGCAUAUGCCACAGUGGAGACAGCCACAAUACACAGAGUAUCACCAUACAAUUUCAUAAAGCUUCAACCCACACAGAGUAACACCACUUCAGAAGGCUACAAGGAUGUUGUUUAGAUCCUUUUGUACCCCUCAUGUUCAUGCAUUGCACCUGAGUGCCCUGUGUUCCUGUGGUGAUGGUCAGUGCCCCUGGGCACUGCAUGGCUCACUGCUGUCAGUGCUGCUCACCUGCUUCUCACAGCUGUACACCGGGGAUGAGGCUGGGCUGCAGCCCCACUCCCAGUUACCACUAACUACUUCCAGCUCGGGAGUGGGAUUGGCACUAUGUGCAUGUCCUGUUCUUUGCUUCCUGUGCUCGCUUUUGUCCAGUGUCACGGAAAUGGUAUCUUUGUCUCUGGUAUGGUAAUUUGUACAACUGUAAUUUACUUAAAGUGCCUGGACACUUUACUGGAAGUGUCUUGGCCUUUAGUAAGGCUGGGAAAACCCCAGGGCACUCAGUGCCUGUAAGAAAGAUUCUUGUGCCCCAUUUAAUGCCAGAAUGCUCUGUCACAGCAGUGGUGCUUCACUGGCUCAGUUUUAAAAACGUGCAGGUGCAGUGAGGCACAAGAGCAUCCGCGAUUAUCCUGCGUGUCGUGACCACGAGGGGGCCCUGGCAGCUUGGGUCUGGCUGAGCCCGGAGUUACACACUGGUACAGGGGCAGGGCUGAUGGCUUGGUGCCUCAGUGGUUACAUCCCUUCUUCAGCACUUCUGAAUUGCCUCUUCUAUAUUAUUUUAUUACAGUAUUUUGCUAUGUAAUUUUGAAAAAUUCAUCUUGUUAUAAAAACUCAACACUAGCCGUUUGUUCUCCUCUGUGGCAGAAGACACUACCAAGCAGGUAGUUUAGCAUGUGAGUUUUCAUCUGUAUGAACAAUUUCCCCAAGUAAAAGUUCAAGAGUUUUGCACACAUCACUGUAUUUCUAAAGUUGAAGGAAUUGGUAUGAAGAAUCUUAAUGAUAAGAUCUUUUG